CCUGAAGCAAGGCAGCAUUACAUCCCUCCUAUUAGCAGGGCUUCGAGAGGCUCUGCAGCUCCCGCUGACGAGGGAUGGUGCUACUUGCAGAGGGACCUGCAGGGACACCGUGGGACUGCCCGCAGCACAGCUCCUCUGGCACUGCCUGGGCAGGGAACCCCGCAGUCCAGCACAAGCCAGCUCCCACCAGCACAUCAGCCUCUUGCAGUGUCUGGAUCCGAGCUGUUGCUAAUGAGGAUGGUGCUCAUCAUGUGAUCGUGCCUUUGGGCAAGGGUGGUGGUGCUGCUAAUUGGCUUCUCUGGCUGCGGUUUCCUUAGGAAACAAGGUUAAAGCAACUCACAGCUCAAAAAUGUACCUCCCGGAGGAAGGCGCUUCAUUACUCCUUCCCCUGUAAAUGGAAACAACUCUAUACCUGACGCCGGCCCCUUUCUAUCACCAGGUGGAACCAAAGGAUGUGGGUGCACCUCUGCUAUGAUCUCUCCCGGUGUGUUGGUCCUGCGGCCCAGCCCUGGAUCAACACGUUUUCUAUCUUGUGUAUUUGAUCACCAGAGCUAUGAAAAUUGUGAAAUGAAGUUCUCCCGGCUAAAUCAAAUAGAAAGGAAGUGGCUUUGUAUCAAAC
rnacentral:lncRNA from 1 species